rnacentral:rRNA from 1 species
ACUACAAUGGUUGGUACAACGAGUUGACGAGUCGGUGACGGCGAGCUAAAUCUCUUAAAGCCCAAUCUACAGUUCGGAUUGUAGGCUGCAACUCGCCUACAUGAAGUCGGAAUCGCUAGUAAUCGCGGAUCAGCACGCCGCGGUGAAUACGUUCCCGGGCCUU